GUUUGGCAAUGGUUGCAGUAGCAAUAAACGAAGGUCACCACUGAAUCACAUUUAGUCUUAUAUUGUCUUUUUUUCUUACAGGUGCAUCAGGUGCAACUAUUCUGAGAAAAUUCUCCAGAAAACAAGCACGACUUCCGGCGUGCUACCCAAAACAGUCCAUGAAAGGAGGGGGGAGUCCAUAAGGGCGAGUGGCAGCUGCCCUUCACUGACGGCUUCAGGCCCAGACCAAAGCAUGGCCCAGCCUUGGGGGACCGGCAUCUUGUCCACCGUCUGCAGGUGCACACCGCUCUGCUGUGUGAAGCUGAUAGUCUGUGUAUCAACAUCACCUUAUCCCAGUACAAACUGACAGAUCUCUGUAUUUUUAUAGAUUGGAGCUAAGUAUAGCCGUAAUGACCCAAACAGCUCUUGGUAGGUGAAGUUUGAAACACAAUUGUGAUUUCAAUGUGAAAACAAAUUGAUCAUUUACACAACCUGGCUAAAAUGUGAUCCAUCUUCCCAAUUGCUGUCUUUGUUGCCCUGAUGUCAAUCCAGAUGCUGCUGUGGGCCCGGAGAAAGCACCAGAUAUAUAUCCAGUGCAGGAGAACAGAUGUGGUCUUCAGCCAAGCAGUGGUUAUUUCGUUCCAGCUGUGAUUGGAGUGAGCUGCUAAGGACAGUUUGCAGUUCUGAUUGACGUGAGCUUCAUGGUCGACCCCUGACAGUGCAGAGGAAAUGGGCAGGCAGGGGGCCAAGACAAUGAGAACAGACUGCAGAUUAAGAGAGGAAGGAGGUGGAGGAAGGAGAGUUUAGACAGACAGCAGUAACUGUGAAAACUCCUCCUUUUCACUGGGAUUUUUUAUUUUUUUUUUAGUUGUGAUGGAUAAUAGCAUUGUGCCAAAUUUUUAGGCUCCAAUACAAACCAGCAAAAAUAAAAUCUCUCAUGUUUAAGAGACA
rnacentral:lncRNA from 1 species